rnacentral:rRNA from 1 species
AUUGAACGCUGGCGGCAGGCUUAACACAUGCAAGUCGAGCGGGGGAAGGUAGCUUGCUACCGGACCUAGCGGCGGACGGGUGAGUAAUGCUUAGGAAUCUGCCUAUUAGUGGGGGACAACAUCUCGAAAGGGAUGCUAAUACCGCUUACGUCCUACGGGAGAAAGCAGGGGAUCUUCGGACCUUGCGCUAAUAGAUGAGCCUAAGUCGGAUUAGCUAGUUGGUGGGGUAAAGGCUUACCAAGGCGACGAUCUGUAGCGGGUAUGAGAGGACGAUCCGCCACACUGGGACUGAGACACGGCCCGGACUCCUACGGGAGGCAGCAGUGGGGAAUAUUGGACAAUGGGGGGAACCCUGAUCCAGCCAUGCCGCGUGUGUGAAGAAGGCCUUAUGGUUGUAAAGCACUUUAAGCGAGGAGGAGGCUACUCUAGUUAAUACCUAGGGAUAGUGGACGUUACUCGCAGAAUAAGCACCGGCUAACUCUGUGCCAGCCGCCGCGGUAA